rnacentral:lncRNA from 1 species
ACAGGGCUUGGGGAGAGAGCGAGCUUGACAGGAGACCACGAUGUCUUCCCCAGGGGUCUGAGCACCUGGGGAAAUGGUGGUGCCAUUUACCAUGACUGGAAAGAUCAUGGGAGGAGCAGGUUUGGGACACUGAAGGCCCGAGAGCCCCUGGCAAACCACCAGUGUAAGUCCAAGAGUCCAAAAGCUGAAGAACUUGGAGUCCAAUGUUUGAGGGUAAAAAACAGCCAGCAUGAGAAAAAGAUGAAGGCCAGAAGACUCGUCCAGUCUAGCCCUUCCACAUUCCUCUGCCCGCUUUUAUCCUAGCCUCGCUGGCAGGUGAUUAGAUGGUGCCCACCCAGGUUAAGCGUGGGUCUCUGUCUCCCAGUUCACUGACUCAAAUGUUAAUUUCCUUUGGCGACAGCCUCACAGACACACCCAGGAACGAUACUUUGCAUCCUCCAAUCCAAUCAAGUUGGCACUCAAUAUUAAACAGUUUCGGCCGGGAGCGGUGGCUCACGCCUGUAAUCCCAGCACUUUGGGAGGCCAAAGCGGGCAGAUCACUAAGUCAGGAGAUCGAGACCAUCCUGGCUAACACGGUGAAACCCCAUCUCUACUAAAAAUACAAAAAAUUAGCCAGGCGUGGUGGUGGGCGCCUGUAGUCCCAGCUACUCGGGAGGCUGAGGCAAGAGAGUGGCGUGAACCCGGGAGGCAGAACUUGCAGCAAGCAGAGAUCGCACCACUGCACUCCAGCCUCCAGCCUGGGCGACAGAGCAAGACACCGUCUCAAAAAAAAAAAAAAAACAACUAACAGUUUCGUUCAUUAAGGCAAUGUCCAUGGGGCAGCUCCUGCAUGCCACGCCACCCCUGCCCUGACAUACUCCCAGGCUGACCAGCCAGAACUGGGGAGAGGGCAUCUUGAAGAAACAGUCCACCCUCCGCCCUCGCAUACCUGUGUCUCCCAGCAGACAAGACACACAAGGGCAGGGACUGCACUUUCCUGUGUGCAAAUCUCAGGUAUGGUCCAGAAAUCACAUCUCUUUGGUCUGAUUGGCCUUACUUACCAAACCCUUGAAACAAUGGAAAGAAGCUUGCUGCAAUGGGAAGACCCCUGCCCCCCAAACCCUCUAACCAGGAGUCUACAGACCUCAUUCCGUGGAAGUUCCCAUUGUCCCCUGGGAAACCACCACCUUCUGAAUCGGCACAGCCAAGGCCCCCAACCCUGCUAUCAACAGCUUUCCUUAGCCACCUUCCCCAUCCUGCAGGGCUUUUCAACAUUUCGACUUUUUAAUCCUUCCCUCCCUAAGAUAUAGACAUGGUGUUAGUAGCAGAACCCUGAAGGCAAAGGAACAGAAACUAACACUCUCAGAAAGUCCUAGCAGGAUGGUCUGAAUUAAUAGACAGCUGCAGGCAGCCAGUGUGCAAGGCACGCUCGUAAUGUCAGUGGCGUUCCGGAAUGAGGGCUGUGAUCCCAGGCAGCCCAGAUCCCAAGGCGAAAACAUUCAUGUCGCCCAGCAUCACCCUGUCCUUGCCCAGGGUGACCCUGAGACGGCACUUGGAUUCUUCCACAUCUGAACUCAAACCUGCUCCCUCAGCUCUCCCCAGCAGGAAUUGGAGCCCUCUCCAGGCCGUUCAGCCAAAGCAGAAUGUGUCUGGCCAAGCAGAUCUGCCCAGAGAAGAACAAAGACGUGUUCAGACACUGUCUGGGGAAUUGGUUUUGAGCUCACUCUGAGCUCCAUCUGUGCAACAAGGCCAGCGUCAGCUGUUACAGAGAAGGGGCUUGUGGCAGUUUAUUACCCUGGUGAGCUGGCUCGGGGCCAUGCUGACCGCAGGACUGUAAAGGACAUAAGGCAGUUGGCAAUAUGGGAAGCAGCAGUCCCCAAAGCACCCCGUCAAGGAAACGAUGCAAGAGCUCUGUCCACUGGACCAGCCCCACCCUACCCCGCCACGCCCUGGCCUAGGGGGAGGGACCUUGUGUUUCACGGGCCUGGAUGGCCAGGGAUGGACAGUGGCAUGGGCACAGACACACCCAGACCGAAGGAAGGGCCCGGGCUCCAGAACCAGACCCGAUCCAGGCUCCCAGCUCUGUCACCUACUGGCUGCAUGAAAAGGGUGGGUUUUCCUUGUUUUGCAGCCUCAGCUAUCUCAGCUGUGAGGGAACAAUGACGCCACCUCCCUCACGUGGCGGUCCUGAAGAUGAAAUGUAAUGCAUGCAGCGCGGCGGCCGGCCCACCGUGUGCUCUUAGUAACUGGCCGCUGUUCUCUUCAGCCCUCCCGUUACUGACCACCUCGAGGGCACCGUUCCUCCAAGCUGACCAUUUCCUGCCAGUCACCCACUGCCCAGCUCGCCCAGCCAUGGAGUGGGCUCUGGUCCACGUGCAUGGUGAGCUGCCAUCUUUGUCGUCCUCUGGACACCACGUCUACCUCCUUGGGAAAUAGAAACGAGUCCUGCAUUGCUUUGUCAAAUUUCACAAAAACCCUAGAAAGCAGAUAUUGCCCUGGUUUACAGACGGACAGACAGAAGCAAAGAGAAGCCAACUGACCCACUCCAGGUUACAAGCAGGGUCUGGUAGGAGAGCACGCGUCCACCCCACCGCUCACUGCGCCCACCUACUCCUCGCUUGAGGGCAGAGAACGAGCUGGGGCGGGGCGCUCCAGGGGGCACAGGCAGCCUGUGUUCAAGGCAUGCUCGUGAGCCCCACAGCAGGGGCGGAGUCAAACCAGGGCUCUGGUUCUGGGGUGAGCAGAGGGUGGGGCCAGGCCCCCACUGGGAGGCUGACUGAGGAGGGGCUCAAAGGGCAGGCAGGCUCCAUCAGAGCGGUUUGAUGAGCAGGGCCGCUGAGUGGCCCUCAGGUCAAGGCUGGGGCCGGGACCACCAGGGACCAGGUCUGCGGGGCCAGGGGUCCCUCCCCAGGGUGGAGCAGGAAAACUCCGGCAACCGCCUUCUUGAGUGGACUUGACCUUCCCUUUCUCUGCUAAUGAUCUCAGAUUAAUCCCUUAAGGCAAGUGCCCCAGGGUGGGUGUUGGUUGCAUAAAACAAGAGGAGUCCUUCUUCCCUUCCUUCCUGGCACAAACAUUUGUAGGCCACCCCCGAUGUGGCUGGUCGUAGUCUGGAUUUGGGGGCACAUUCAGGCAUUCAACAAAUACGUCAUGAGGCCCCGUGAUGAGCUGGGGGGCUAUGCUUGAUGUCGGCAGUACAGCUGUGGUCGCUCGAAUGAAUGUGCCCGCCCUCACGGGACUGACCUCUAGUGGUGAGAGACAGACACUAACCGAGUCACAUGUGUGAUUACACGUGUAAUCAUACUUACAUAUGUAACAACACGAGUUACACGUGCAGUGUGGGGAGGGGGCCCUUCACGGUGACCAGCCCAUCAGGGAAGGGGAUGCGGGUGGCAGAAGGAAGCGGCACACCCUUGUCCUCACGGAGCUCACAGGAGGUUCUCUGACCCUCAUCUUAAGCCACAGGCUGUGUCUGAGCCUCACUGCCCUAGCUAUCAACUGGGUGCAGGACUAGGCCUUAAUCACUGGGCAGCGGGAAGAACUACAUAAGCUCAUACUGGCGCAAAGCCCCUUGGGAGACCGCAGGGAAAGCCAUUGCAUGAGGUGGUGACAGGCUCGGCCUUCAGAGUCGGGCUAGAAUCUGAGUUCUGACAAUGAUCCCCGCCUUGACCCAUCUCUCCUCAGGCCGCCCUGAGCCUUCCAGUUAGGCCUGGGCUUUGGGCUUCCGUGUUUGUCUCUGGAUUGUUCGGUUUUAGCAAGAGUCCUGCUAAAUUGGUCUUGCUGGAAUCCUCCGCCCUCCACAUCUGAUUGCCCUUCCUGUCUGAUCGUGGUCUUCAUGCCCCACGGCCUCCAGGGGACGUCUGAUCACCUGGCCUGCCUUCAGCAAGAAUCCCCCCAGGUGUUUCCUCUUAAGAGGUUUUCCAUCCACUGAGCCCACCCUGCUCCUUGGCCAUCAAUUCCCACUUGCCUGUACUGUAUUCAGAGGGGACCCCAAUCUCUCUUCCCAGCUGCAGCGGUCCCUGUCCAACACUGCCCCCCACCUCAAAUAAAGUCUUUCUUACUGUCUUUAACAUAUGCCGUCAAUAAAGUUUUAGCAGAUCCAAUUCCCUGCUCUGUGAUCUUAGGCAAGUUACCUAACGUGUCUGGGCCUCAGGAUCCUCAGCUGAAAAAUGAGAUAAAUGCCACUCCAUAGGAUUGUCGGGAGACUAAAUGAAAAAAAAAAAUAAUGCAACAAAGCAACAGGCCCAGAGCCUGGUGCCCAGUAAGCCUCGGUAGAAGGUGGCUUCUUUGCACAGGCCCAUCUCAUAGGCAGCCUUGUUUACCCACAGGUCUAGGUCAUCAACAGCUGGGUUCCCAAACACCUAUAAUGUACAGACUGUCUAGGGGCCAAUACUCCUCCAGGCCUUCCAGGGCUGCUUCGAGUCAAUUUUAUUAUUCAUAAGGCUAGGUAUAAACUCUUUGUAAUUAUUUCUCCUUUCAAGUAUAAAAUCAAGA